CGCCCACCACGCGAGACCCAAUCCGAAGCCUGCUUCUUGACCCGCCCACCUAGGAGCUCUGUUUUACUUCCUUAAAUCCCACCGAACCCGGUUGACCUAAGUGGAGCUAGGUGUGAAUGAAACUGGCCUCAUUUUGGGUUUUUUUUUUGAGCUGCUGGAGAUGAAACCCAGGGCUUCGUGCAUGCUAGACGGGGUCUCGAUAUGUAGUUUAGGCUGGUUUCAAACUCAGGGCAGUCCGCCUGGCUCCACCUCCCGAUUGCUGAGAUUACAGGGCACAAGGGUGUGAUGAAGUCCCACGAGGUCCCACGACAAAUACGAAUGGAAAAAGUCAAGACUACUAAAUGGUGGAAAGGUGUGUUUGGGGGGGACAGUCACAGACACUGUGGGCCAGAUCAUAAGAAUCAGCACAGCCACCUUGGUCUUGAACCAAGUGGCCACCAGGAUGUUCAGCCUGGCGCCAGGGUGGGUGCCCUGCAGAGGGGUGAUGGGAACAGCAAGCGCUCCAUGGCUCCGCCCACAUGGAGAGCUCCUUUUGCUAGCAUCUGUUAACCUUAUUUGCCUCUGAAAAACUGUUGGCUGUGAAUAAGAAAGGGGACCUCCCUUUCAGAAUCAUGGAAGCCAGAGGCCCCAUCAUGCUUUGUGGCACUGUAACAGGAAGAAACACACAAUGGAGACAUUUACCUUCCAGAGCUCAGAGUUGUCUACAUACAAGAAUAAUAUGAGGGCUGGGGAUUUAGCUCAGUGGUUCUGCUGCCUGGCUCACAAGCGCAAGGACUUGAGUUUGAUUCCUGGUACCAAAAAAACCCCCCAAAAACUCAGGCACUUUGUUUUUUCUUCUUGUAGUGCUGGGGAGGAACCCAUAGCCUUGUGCAUGGUCUAGUCCAGGCACUGCUGGUACUUUAUAAGGUGUCUGAACUUUUAAAAAGAUCUGUGAGCCAGUGUGGGGGUGUGUGCUGAUCAUCCCAGCACUCUGGGAGGCUGAGGCAGGAGGACUGCAGGUUCCAGCCCAGCCUGGGUAACUCAGCAACUUACUGAGACCCUGUCUUGAAAUAAAAAAUAAAAGGGCUGAUGAAGUAGCCCAGUGUGAAUGCCCUGGGUUCAACCCCCAGUACCUGAAAAAAGAAAAAAAACAAGGAUUUGUGGCUGUCUUAGGGUGUCUAUUUUCUGUUACCGUCAGAGAAUAUCUGAGACUGGGUGAUUUAUAAACAAUUUUAUUUUCGCUUGCAGUUCUGGGGGCUGAGAAGGCCACUGGGGAGGGCUUCAAGCUACAUCAGCUCAGGGUGGAAAGCACAAAGGCAGCUGGGGACAGGCGGGCACAUGUAAGGGAAGAAGCAAGAGGCAAAGCACAAGCAGCCUCACUUUAAAGCAACCAGCUCUUGUGGUAACUAGUCCAGCCCUGCAAGAGUGAGAACUCGAUCCUACCUUGAAAAUCAACCUAGCCCUGUGAGAAAGGAAUGAAUCACGUUCCAUACCUAUUAUGCAAACAGCUGUUAAAGAUCGCGCUUUCUCUCCACACUAUGCUAGCCACUGUGUUAUUACCUUUCCUCCGCUGGCACAAAGCACCUGACACCCACAGGCUUCAAGGAGAGGUUGAUUUGGUUCAUGGUUUCAGGUAGUGCAGUCCAUGCCUUGCUCCAAGGCAGAAACAUGGUAAAAAGGCCUGGGGAGAACAGCUGCUCACCUCAUGGAGGCGGGAAAGCAAAGUGGGUUGUUAGGAGAGUGGAGAGGAAAGGGCUGGGAAACAGAUGCAGAGUCCAAGGUCAGACCACCAUGCCCCACUUGGAUGCACCUGGAAGUGUGUCACUAAUCUGGCAGGCUUUUUGAUCCAGUCAGGCUAACAAUCACAGUAGUCACAAGUACAAAGCCUUAGUAUGAAUUCUGGCAGGGACAAAUCAUAUUCAGACUAAAUUGGGGCCUUGAUAGGGCUGAAAGAGUAUUCUCAGGAGCUGUUAGGUACUAUGCUUGGUUCUCUUGCUUGUUACUUUAGUUGAGCUGUUGGGCAAUAGGAAGUGUCUGACAAUCUCUGGAAAUCUCAUCUUUGAAAUCUGAGAAAUCAGGGAACUGAAGACAAGAGAGAUAAUCAUAGCAUUUCUGGUUUCCUAAAAGCCUUUUUUGGGGGGGAAGUUCAGACAGGGUCUCACUAUGUAGUUCAGGCUGACCUUGAACUCAAUAUGUAGCCCAGGCUGGGCUUGAACUCACUGUAAUUCUCCUGCCUCAGCCUCUCAAGUGCUGGGAUGACAGGCAUGCACUACCACGCCAGGCUGCUAAAAGCUUUUGCUUAUAGCUGGGAAGAAUAUGCUAGGGAUGUUCCAUGCUGCCAACACUGACUUCAAGAGGUAAGCAUUUCCUGGUUUGUUUUUUUUUCUGGCUCUACUAGAAAUUGAACCAGGCCUCAUGCAUGCUAGGCACGUGCUCUACUAAGCCAUAUCCUCAGCCUUUUAUUUACAGUUUGAGAGAGGACCUUGCUAAGUUACCUAGGCUGGGGUCCUCCUGCCUCAGCCUCAUGAAUAGCUGGGAUUAGAGGCAUGUGCCACAGCACCCAGCUAACCAAAACUGUCUUGCUCUCUGGAGCUUAUGCUGUAGUGGGCUCAGUGUGGACCACGCUGGUCAGAUCCCUGUGAGCAGGAUCCCAGUUACUUCAAGUUCCCACUCUUUUUGGGUAGCACACUGUCAGGGAAAGGUUAAAACGAGUGUCAUCUGGAAUGUGUGUGUUCACUGAGGUGACACUGGCUGAAUGCCCUUCUGCAGGGAGGCUGGCAACCUCCUGGGAAAGGAGUGUACAGAGAUAACUGUUAACACAUGAAGUACUGCUCGCUCUGAGAAGGUUCUGAGAAGCCAAGCCUGGGAACAGUCCCUCUAGCCACGCAGGCCUGUUGGGACCAAGUCACUUUUGUCUGAAUGCAGUACUUAAGGAACAGAGAAACUGGGUAUGGUGUGGUGUUUUCUCUCUUGCUUGUUGAAGGCUCCAUCUCAUAAAAGAUCCUUCCCCUGGAGGAUUCCCCUUCAUCUUUGGUGCUGUCCCUUACCUUGUGUGGUAUUAUUUGACUAUGCUUAUUAUCUGCUGUACUUUUAUAAUAAACUUACUUUGAUCUUUUAAAAAUCAUUGUGUGGCUCUUCUCUGUUCAUGCAGAUCCGAACCUCAAAUUUCUGUGGCUGCAUACAUGUCACUCCUUGCUGUCACACAUAGUGAAUCUCCUGACUUGUUACCCUGACUUGGCAACUGUGGUGCACACAGAGAGGCAAGUGGAUGAGGAGAAUGAAAGGGAUAACUUAGCUCUUUGCUCGAAUAUGAGCUGGGUCAGAAUAACUGAUGUGAACCCUGGGGCUCAUCCUGUAAUUUCUUCACUCUAUCACAGAGCAUUCUGAAAGGGCAGUUUUAAAUAUUUCCUCAUGUAAACAUCAGGGUGUCUUGUGCCUAAACAUGGUCAUUUCCCACAAACGAGCCACUGCCUCUGCUGCACUAACCACCAUGAUUCACUUGUUAGAUUCAGAAUAAUAAUGAGUUUGUCUGAGGGUUAACAACAGCCGGGAAGAACUGACUUGGGAAGAUGUGUUUAGGAGCCCAAGUUGGGAGGCUGAAAGAACAGAAGACAUUUGGAGGAGAAUAGGUCAAAGGCAGAGGCUGGGUGGCAUCUGUACCUGGGGGAGGGGGCGAUCGGUCAGAUCCUGAGCAUUUCCAGGUCCUGAGAAAUCACAGGCUGGGCAUGAUGACACAAGCCUGUAGUCCCAGCUACUCAGGAGGCUGAGGCAGGAGGAUCCCAAGUUUGAGGACAGCCUGGGCAACUAAUCAAGAUCCUGCCUCAAAACAGAAAGGAAUGGGGUAUAUCUCAGUGCUUCAGUGCUUGCCUACCAUGCACGAGGCCCUGGGUUCCAGCUCUAGAACUGCAAAGUCACCCUAACAACCUUAUUUGACAGAGGGGAAAACAAGUCCUGGGAAGAUAAAUGACAAGGUCACAGAGCUUACAGUAGCAGAAAUAGGGACCAAACUCAGAGCUCCUGAUUCUCAACUGGCGCUUGUUCUACUCAGUUGAACUGUACAGUCCAAUUAUUCACUGUGUCAUACACUUUGACUUGGUCAACCUGUUUCUGGAACAUCUGACUGUUUAAUUUUUAUUUAAUAUUUUGGUUUUUUGAGACAGGGUCAAACUACAUAGUUUAUGCUAACCUUGAACUAUGUAGCCCAGGAUGGCCUCAAAUUUACAGUAAUCCUCCUGCCUCAGACUCCCAAGUGCUGGGAUUACAGGCAUACACUACCACACCUGGUGGGCCAUUUAAAACCUCAGUAUGAGAUAGUUAACAUAAACUUUCUUUGUCCCACACAUAAUAUUUACUUGAUGGGGCGGGAAUUUAGCUCAUUGGUUCUGGUGCCUGCCUCGAAAGCGCACGGUCCCGA